GGUAUUGUGCUGAGGCACGACGCAUUGGUGUUUUAUGGCGGAAAUAGGGCCAUAGAGGUGGCUCUAGAAGUUGAGGUAUCUGAUAUUAUUUAUUGAGGUUCUAUUUCAUACAUUGGUAUCCAUACAAUUAGGAAAGAGAUAUUAUCAAGGAGCGGGGCGUUUAACUAGAUAUUACCAUGUGUGAAAAGAAGGACAUCGGCAUUGCGACGAUGAUUAGCAGGAGGAAUAAAGGGGAGAGGGCAGUGAUGCUUCUAAUUUCAUUUUCAGGAACCAGACCCUGUAGUCAAUGACAUUAGCCGAUGACAUUGGAAAGAAAGUAACCUGUUGGAGAUUCUUCUUGGACUGCUCCA
rnacentral:sRNA from 1 species